AACGCAUAUUGCGCCCCUUGGCAUUCCGGGGGGCACACCUGUCCGAGCGCCGUCGCAACACUGAGGCUCAGCCUUGCGUUGGUGGCCGGCCCCCCUUUUUUCGGAAAGGGGGGGCCGCCGCCGAAACCACGACGGCGCCGCACCGCGGCCGACGAUGCGCAAAAAGCAGACGAGCGGCGAGCGGGGAGUCGGCGGCCAGUUUUAAUGAACAGCUUGGCCUCGGAUCAGGUGGGGAUACCCGCUGAACUUAA
rnacentral:misc_RNA from 1 species